GACGAACGCUGGCGGCGUGCUUAACACAUGCAAGUCGAACGCUGAAGCUUGGUGCUUGCACUGGGUGGAUGAGUGGCGAACGGGUGAGUAAUACGUGAGUAACCUGCCCUUGACUCUGGGAUAAGCCUGGGAAACUGGGUCUAAUACUGGAUACGACAUGUCACCGCAUGGUGGCGUGUGGAAAGGGUUUUACCGGUUUUGGAUGGGCUCACGGCCUAUCAGCUUGUUGGUGGGGUAAUGGCUCACCAAGGCGACGACGGGUAGCCGGCCUGAGAGGGUGACCGGCCACACUGGGACUGAGACACGGCCCAGACUCCUACGGGAGGCAGCAGUGGGGAAUAUUGCACAAUGGGCGAAAGCCUGAUGCAGCGACGCCGCGUGAGGGAUGACGGCCUUCGGGUUGUAAACCUCUUUCAGCACGGAAGAAGCGAAAGUGACGGUACGUGCAGAAGAAGCGCCGGCUAACUACGUG
rnacentral:rRNA from 1 species